rnacentral:rRNA from 1 species
AAAGGGAAAAUACGCUAUAGUAUCUUCGGAUCGAUUGACCUCUUUAGAGGCCUAGGAGAAGUAUUUCUUACUUAUCAUGCUAGUUGUUUCAGUAAGGGUGAAACAAGGCCGUCACGGGUACGGAAAAUUGGGGUUUGACACCGGAGAGGGAGCCUGAGAAAUGGCUACCACAUCUAAGGAUGGCAGCAGGCGCGAAAAUUACCCAAUCCUAACAUUUGGGAGGUAGUGACAAGAAAUAACGUCCUUCCAUUCUUGGAAGGGUACCGCAAGGUUUGGAAUGGUUCUAGUUCAAAUUUCUAUUAGAGUAACAAUUGGAGGACAAGUCUGGUGCCAGCACCCGCGGUAAUUCCAGCUCCAAAAGCAUAUACUAAAAUUGCUGUAGUUAAAACGCUCGUAGUUUAUACAAGGGAUGCAAUUUGUAUGUUUCAGACUAUUGCUAGUUGCUGGCAAAUUCGUUUAUCGAUUAGUUAGUAACCAAGCGUAGUCUUUGCUUGGUUUUCCAAGUAAGCACGUUAGUGCCAAGGGUUUUGGGUCUCUUCUUACCAAAAAGUCUUGGCAUGUGUGGGGCAUAGAUUGCGUUCUGAUUCGAACCGUGAACAAAUUAAAGUGUUUAAAGCGGGCAUUGUACGUUCUUUGAACGUUUUGCUUGAAUAAUUUAGCAUGGGACUCAUUUUCCUUGCAAAAGGAUAAGAAAAAGGAGCCAGGAAGAGGACUCUGGUAUUGCGCGUUUAGAGGUGAAAUUCCGACAUCUUCGCAGGACGAACGGAGGCGUAGGCUGUCAUUGCCCAUCACAUCUCUAUUGAUCAGGAACGAAAGUCAGGGGAUCGAAGAUGAUUAGAUACCGUCGUAGUCCUGACCGUAAACGAUACUAACUCGAGUUUGUAUGUAACAGUUUUUCAAAAAUUGAUACAGAAUCCAAGGGAAACCGUUAAGUCUUUGGGUUCUGGGGGGAGUAUAGUCGCAAGGCCGAAACUUAAAGGAAUUGACGGAAAGACACCACCAGGAGUGGAGUUUGCGGCUUAAUUCGACCCAACGCGGGAAAACUCACCAGGAUAGGACAGAAUGAGGAUUGACAGGUUGAAUAUGGUCCUUUCUUGAUUUUUUGGAAGGUGGUGCAUGGCCGUUCUUAGUUCGUGGAGUGAUCUGUCUACUUAAUUGUGUUAACGAACGAGACCUUAACCUGUUAACUAGGCACUAGUUGAAUUUUAUUCAUGGGUUUCUUACGAAAUCUAGGUCAUUCGGGUUUUACCCGAGCUUCUUAAAGGGACAAUACUGUGUAUUUUAUAUUUUAGCGUAGGGAAGUUUAAGGCAAUAACAGGUCUGUGAUGCCCUGAGAUAUCCUGGGCGGCACGCGUACUACAAUGUCAUUGACAACAGGCUUUCCGCUUCGGCGGGCCUCUACCAAAAUGUAGGGGAAAACGUGUCAAACACUUAUAUGACUGGGAUAGCUGUUUGUAAUUACAUCUUAAACGAGGAAUUCCUAGUAAGCGCAAGUCAUCAUCUUGCAUUGAUUACGUCCCUGUCUUUUGUACACACCGCCCGUCGCUCCUACCGAUUGGAUAGCAAGGUGAACUUGAUGGACUCUAACGAGAAAAUUUAUUAAACCUUUCCAUCUCUAGGAAGGAGAAGUCGUAACAAGGUC